UACAGAGGUGGCAAGCGUUGUUCGGAAUUACUGGGCGUAAAGGGCGCGUAGGUGGCCUUUUGAGUCAGACGUGAAAUCCCCCGGCUUAACCUGGGAACUGCGUCUGAUACUGGAAGGCUUGAGUUCGGGAGAGGGAUGUGGAAUUCCAGGUGUAGCGGUGAAAUGCGUAGAUAUCUGGAGGAACACCGGUGGCGAAGGCGGCAUCCUGGACCGAAACUGACACUGAGGAGCGAAAGCCAGGGGAGCAAACGGG
rnacentral:rRNA from 1 species